CUAGCAGUGAGGAAGGCGGGUAGUGUUAAUAGCAUAUCGUUUGACGUUUAGCUGCAGAAGAAGACACCGGCUAACUACCGUGCCAGCAGCCGCGGUAAUACGGAGGGUGCGAGCGUUAAUCGGAAUUACUGGGCGUAAAGCGCAUGCAGGUGGUUUGUUAAGUUCAGAUGUGAAAGACCCGGGGCGUCAACCUCGGAAUAGCAUUUGAAACUGGCAGACUAGAGUACUGUAGAGGGGGGUAGGAAGUUUCAGGUGUAGCGGUGAAAUGCGUAGAGAUCUGAAGGAAUACCGGUGGCGAAGGCGGCCCCCUCGGACAGAUACUGACACUCAGAUGCGAAAGCGUGGGGAGCAAACAGGAUUAGAUACCCUGGUAG
rnacentral:rRNA from 1 species